rnacentral:misc_RNA from 1 species
GCAGUGGCAGAAACGCGAGAACUGGGAAAUGAUAUUUCAUUUCUCUUCAAAUUUUAAUUUGAGAUGCAUAAAUGAUUGUAUGGUUUUUGUUGAAGUAGGGACUACAUUCAAACGUAAUGUGUACAUGUCAAGUUCAUCAAGUUACUGCUCAGUCUGUUUUGUCACCACAUAAUCCAAGGUCACCUGGAUUGAAGUGAGGUUUGACUUCAACUUGGGGCAUCCAGUAUUUCGAAGAAGCACGCUUAAGCGCAAAGGUCGGUCGGCCAUACCCGGGUGGGCGCAAGCGGGUAGGCGUUCGGUCACUGCUCAGCUGUCAGCAGUAGAUUGUGAUGGGAGGACCGGUGCACGGAGCUGCGCGAUAGUGUAGAUUUGGUGGGGAGACUGUGGUGUGACAGAGGCAUUCCCGCUUGAAGAUAAUUCGGAGAGUAUCAACUUAUGUGCAAAUCUUUGAAGAAGGCUAAACUGUUAACCAAAGUCUCAAAAACUGGAGCUUAUACCAGGGGCAUGCCUGAGCAGCGUGAGGCGGGGCCCGAUGAGCCUCAGCUGGCAUCAGGUGGCUGCUGGUCACCGCAGCAGAGUCACCAGAGUGUGCCGCCUAUGGCAGAGGGACCUCUAGACCUUACCAUGAGGUCAAUGAGCCACCAAAGUUCCACCGACCAACGUGGAAUGGACCUCAGCUUGCCAGACAAAGACUCGCCUGUGGAGGCGUGCUAUACCUGUGGUACGCCAGUGCGCCGCAGUACUCUGCGUGCGUUGUUGGUGAUUGGCCGUCAUCGGUACGGUGACGAGCCCUUCUUCCCCAGCCUCGUCGACCACGCCCGUCCGGUCGGGUCGCGACCUAUGUCACCGGACGGUCGGGUCAACGUAUGCAACAAAUGUCAAACGAGUCUAUUGCAUCAGUGGGACGACUACCAGAAAGAGAACCGGGUCUCUGCCGAGCGACGGAAGUACGCGGUGCACGCGGCCAGCGCACCCCUGCUGGGGGAGUUUGUCUGCUACAUGUGCUGCCUUACCUACUCGGUGGCGUGCCUGAGCCGCUUGCGUGUGACGCCGGGUGCCGCUGGCGAGCACUGCUAUCCGGACGUGCUGCGGCCGGUGACGCCGCCGGGCGCCGAGGGAGUCCGCAGCGGCGCCGUCUCCGUGUGCGUCAACUGCAAGAGGAAGGCGGUGCUGCGGCAGACGCUGCAGCAGAGCCGGCCACUGCCCGCGGACAGUCACUGCUACCGGAUCAUCGAGGAGGCGGUGCGCGGGCAGACCGCCGAGGAGACGCGACCCUCCACCUUCGAAAACAUUCGCGUGCGCCGGCGUGAGGUCGUGUGCAUUUCGUGCAAGCGCACACAUCAGCGAGAUUUCAUGGCGGAGGUGCGCCUGGAGAGCUCCAACCAGGCACUCAUGCACUUCCCGAGACUGGCUCACGAGCCGCGCCCGCCUGGGUCCGUGGUGAAACGCUCGUCAGCACUGGUUUGUGUCCAGUGCCUGCGGGAGCUGCAGAAGCAGUGGGAGGCGUAUGACGCGAACGGCACGCCAGUGGCCAAUCGUGUGUACGCGCCGCGCCGGAGCUCUGUGGGCAGUGGCUCGGACGCGGCUCGCGACUCGCCGCCGGUGCCCUCAGCGUCGCCGCCGGUCAGCCUGGCCUCCGGGAGCAGCCGGUCGGUGGGCUCCGGGUCACCGCCCUCCGGGAGACACUCUCCUCUGGCCGGCGGCCGACCGCUGCCUCUGACCGACCGGAACUCGCCUGUGGCCGAGCGGGGAUCCCCGCUGACCGACCGUCUAUCGGGACCCAUGGAGCGCGCCCGCACCAUGAGCGACUGCCGCACGAUCGAUAGCAGCUCGUCGAGCAGCUCCUCGGGACGGCCGAAGCGGCCCUCUGGCGACGCCUCCACGCGCGCCGCCAAGCGUAGAGCGCCGGCACGCUCGGACGCCUCACCAAAGCCGAUGUCACUGGUAGCACCGUCCACAGUGACAGCUGGAUGCUACGCCUGUCACCAACCCCUCGAAGCGAAUGCCGCUUACGAGGUGCGCACGGAGCCGAACCAGGCAGACGCGUCGGCGCCGUUCUUCCCGCACCUGGCGCAGCAGCGUCACCUGCCCGCGCCCGUCUGUAGCGUGGCGGUGUGCGUGUUCUGCUACCACACACUGGCAGACCAGUGGGCGCGCUACGAGCGACUCUCCAACAAGAUCGACCCGUACAAACGCGAGUACGACACGCACAACUUCAUCUGCUUCGUGUGCAGCGUGCGCACGUACAGGAAGCGUCUGCACGUCAUUGACGUUAAGGACUUUCCGUUCUUGACCGACUCCCACCGGUAUCCGGAGGGAGCGCUGCUCAUCUGCGACCGCACCAAGUCCGUGGUGUGCCGGGACUGCCACGGCACGCUCAACUGCCAGGUCGCCCGUGAGCCGCCUGAGUUUGGGAGGCCAGUGUUGGGCGGUUAAGGUCGCUGAACGUAGCGGCACUGGAAGCGGGUGGCCGUAUUCUCCCAGCGAGGUGAGCUAUAUUGUCCGCCGCCGGGCCGCCCGCGCCGGCGUUCCGCCGGACUUUGCGCGUGGAGAUCAGUUUUCAGGAUUAUGAGCGCUGGAAUCUACCGGUAAAC